GUAUAAGCUUUGAACAAGAGGGUUCAGACAUGACGAUUUGAAGAGAGAAACGGGUUGGUGGAACGUUUUACUCGUCGUUUGAAUUGUAGCUUGUGAGCUGUCGGACUGAACCAACAGUAGGUCUGACCGGAUAUCAGUUCGUUAACAUGAAUUAAAGCGGGGCAUUAAAGCCCAAUUUAGGUGGUACCACGGCACUGUCGUCCUAUUA
rnacentral:ncRNA from 1 species